rnacentral:rRNA from 1 species
UACGUAGGGUGCGAGCGUUGUCCGGAAUUAUUGGGCGUAAAGAGCGUGUAGGCGCCAGACAGGUCCGUUGUGAAAACUCGAGGCUCAACCUCGAGACGCCGAUGGAAACCGUCUGGCUAGAGUCCGGAAGAGGAGAGUGGAAUUCCUGGUGUAGCGGUGAAAUGCGCAGAUAUCAGGAAGAACACCCGUGGCUAAGGCGGCUCUCUAGUACGGUACUGACGCUGAGACGCGAAAGCGUGGGGAGCGAACAGG